rnacentral:rRNA from 1 species
AGAGCGAACGCUGGCGGCAGGCCCAAUACAUGCAAGUCGAACGGAUCCUUCGGGAUUAGUGGCGGACGGGUGAGUAACACGUGGGAACGUGCCCUUUGGUUCGGAACAACUCAGGGAAACUUGAGCUAAUACCGGAUGUGCCCUUCGGGGGAAAGAUUUAUCGCCAUUGGAGCGGCCCGCGUCUGAUUAGCUAGUUGGUGAGGUAAAGGCUCACCAAGGCUUCGAUCAGUAGCUGGUCUGAGAGGAUGAUCAGCCACACUGGGACUGAGACACGGCCCAGACUCCUACGGGAGGCAGCAGUAGGGAAUCUUGCGCAAUGGGCGAAAGCCUGACGCAGCCAUGCCGCGUGAAUGAUGAAGGUCUUAGGAUUGUAAAAUUCUUUCAGCGGGGACGAUAAUGACGGUACCCGCAGAAGAAGCCCCGGCUAACUUCGUGCCAGCAGCCGC